GUGCGACUAUCCACUUUACAAAGUCUUUGGUAUUUAUUAUAGCCUUUUAUGGCGUGCAUAUUCAGAGUAUUUAUGUAUACUUGGAUAUUUGGUACAAGUAUUGGUUAUACUUGGAUAUUUGGUACAAGUAUUGGUUAUACUUGGAUAUUUGGUACAAGUAUUGAUUAUACUUGGUUAUUUGGUGCAAGUAUUUGUUUUAUGUCUACACUGAUGGGUGGUUUAUACCAGGAGAAUUAUAAUUUCAUUCGUUUAAACGGGCAGUGC
rnacentral:lncRNA from 1 species